GGAGGUUACCAUGGUAACAGGGCAUCAACUCACUCAGCUGACAAGUAGCAAGAGGCUGUCUCUCUGCUGUUUUCACUGCUUUCAGGAGUGGUUUAGUGUCUUCAAAACGACUGUUAGCAUCAGAGGCUAACAAUUAGAGGAGCGUCAGAAUAAAAUACCUAAAACAGGGGAAGUUACAAGAAAAUUUGUAAUGUGAGCUGCUGACAGAGAUACAGGAAACACAGAGCUGGAGCAGAGCGGAUCUCCUGUCGAAGAACAUCUCCAAAGCGCCAUGAACCGUCUGACUAGGCAGUUCGUGAAGACGGAUAACCUGGACAGAAGUCAGUUCAAGAUCCAGCCUCCACACCAGACUUCUCACUCACAAGGAUUGUCUACUAGAUAUUAUGUGUACUCUUCAGACUUGGGUUCAUACAGAUAUUAUUCAGGGACACGAAC